rnacentral:rRNA from 1 species
UACGGAGGGUGCAAGUGUUAAUCGGAAUUACUGGGAGUAAAGCGCACGCAGGCGGUCUGUCAAGUCGGAUGUGAAAUCCCCGGCCUCAACCUGGGAACUGCAUUCGAAACUGGCAGGCUAGAGUCUUGUAGAGGGGGGUAGAAUUCCAGGUGUAGCGGUGAAAUGCGUAGAGAUCUGGAGGAAUACCGGUGGGCGAAGGCGGCCCCCUGGACAAAGACUGACGCUCAGGUGCGAAAGCGUGGGGAGCAAACAGGAUUAGAUACCCUGGUAGUCCACGCCGUAAACGAUGUCGAUUUGGAGGUUGUGCCCUUGAGGCGUGGCUUCCGGAGCUAACGCGUUAAAUCGACCGCCUGGGGAGUACGGCCGCAAGGUUAAAACUCAAAUGAAUUGACGGGGGCCCGCACAAGCGGUGGAGCAUGUGGUUUAAUUCGAUGCAACGCGAAGAACCUUACCUGGUCUUGACAUCCACAGAACUUAGCAGAGAUGCUUUGGUGCCUUCGGGAACUGUGAGACAGGUGCUGCAUGGCUGUCGUCAGCUCGUGUUGUGAAAUGUUGGGUUAAGUCCCGCAACGAGCGCAACCCUUAUCCUUUGUUGCCAGCGGUCCGGCCGGGAACUCAAAGGAGACUGCCAGUGAUAAACUGGAGGAAGGUGGGGAUGACGUCAAGUCAUCAUGGCCCUUACGACCAGGGCUACACACGUGCUACAAUGGCAUAUACAAAGAGAAGCGACCUCGCGAGAGCAAGCGGACCUCAUAAAGUAUGUCGUAGUCCGGAUUGGAGUCUGCAACUCGACUCCAUGAAGUCGGAAUCGCUAGUAAUCGUAGAUCAGAAUGCUACGGUGAAUACGUUCCCGGGCCU